UACGAAGGGGGGCUAGCGUUGCUCGGAAUCACUGGGCGUAAAGCGCACGUAGGCGGAUUGUUAAGUCAGGGGUGAAAUCCUGGAGCUCAACUCCAGAACUGCCUUUGAUACUGGCGAUCUCGAGUCCGGGAGAGGUGAGUGGAACUGCGAGUGUAGAGGUGAAAUUCGUAGAUAUUCGCAAGAACACCCAGUGGCGAAGGCGGCUCACUGGCCCGGUACUGACGCUGAGGUGCGAAAGCGUGGGGGAGCAAACAGG
rnacentral:rRNA from 1 species